rnacentral:rRNA from 1 species
CAGUCGCCACGGUAAUACGUAGGUGGCAAGCGUUGUCCGGAAUUAUUGGGCGUAAAGGGCUCGCAGGCGGUUUCCUAAGUCUGAUGUGAAAGCCCCCGGCUCAACCGGGGAGGGUCAUUGGAAACUGGGAAACUUGAGUGCAGAAGAGGAGAGUGGAAUUCCACGUGUAGCGGUGAAAUGCGUAGAGAUGUGGAGGAACACCAGUGGCGAAGGCGACUCUCUGGUCUGUAACUGACGCUGAGGAGCGAAAGCGUGGGGAGCGAACAGGAUUAGAUACCCCCGUAGUCCCUGUCUCUUAUAC